rnacentral:rRNA from 1 species
CAGUAGCCGCGGUAAAACGUAGGUGGCAAGCGUUAUCCGGAAUUAUUGGGCGUAAAGCGCGCGUAGGCGGUUUUUUAAGUCUGAUGUGAAAGCCCACGGCUCAACCGUGGAGGGUCAUUGGAAACUGGAAAACUUGAGUGCAGAAGAGGAAAGUGGAAUUCCAUGUGUAGCGGUGAAAUGCGCAGAGAUAUGGAGGAACACCAGUGGCGAAGGCGACUUUCUGGUCUGUAACUGACGCUGAUGUGCGAAAGCGUGGGGAUCAAACAGGAUUAGAUACCCCGGUAGUCCCUGUCUCUUAUAC